ACCUUAAUAGUGGCCAAUAAAAUGGAGGGAUAUCCUAAGUAACCAUCUUGAUAGGAGUAACUCCAGGGGACAUAGUCCUAUAAAUUACAGUCCAUGACACAAGAAAUAGGAUCAUAAUGAGUGUUUUACAAGCAAGGGAUAACUGGGACCUUAAUAAACAAAGACUAGCUUAUUCAAAUAAAAUGUUUUGUGACAGAGAAUCUUAAGACUAAUUUAUAGUAAAACCCAUAUGGUCCCUAGCAGAUGUUAGUUACUUAUGCAGCCACACAUCCUUUUUAACACACAAAUAUGUGUUCUCAUGGGUUACAUUAUGGCACAUAAUCAUAAAUAAGAUAUCCACAUAAAACGUUGAAUGGAAAUGAAAGCUCUUGACCACAUCAGAGGAUGUCAAACAUGUGUGCAUGACAUUACAAACAGACCCUGUGGCCAGAAGAUUUUUGCACGCUUCUUCUCUGUCUACCAUAUUACUGCAGUUAACAAUGGCAUUUCUUAAGAGUGAAUAAUUCGAAGAGAAAGAUUUUGCAGAUGAGCCGAUAGAUAAAGUAGAGGUCUCACUGUUUAACCUAAAUACUAACGCCCAGGUAGGCUCCAUUUUAAGAAUCUUGAAAUGAACCUGAACAAUGACAAUUGCAAAAUCUAAAUCAUCAGUCUAUUUUCAGAUCCCACUAUUUUCUUUUUCAUGUGCAGUAGUACAGGAUAGAGUUCCAGGUUUUA